AUCAUUAAGGACAAAAUGAACAUUUCAUAUCAGUUUGUUGGGUAGGUCUGAAUUGAUAUGAUGCAGGGAGAAUCAGUCCAAAAUUAAAAGGCUAAGGUCCAAUGGAAGCCCAAACGAAAAUUACAAAGACAAUACACUGAAAAGGGACACCAGACCCAAUACAAAAAAUAAAGAUAUAGGUUCUUCUUGCACCCACCGGGUGCUAAAAUUUCCAUUAGACCCUUAACAAAAAAAAACCCUCAAGCAACCCCAUCAUCUCUUCUCUUCUCUGCUUUCUCCAUGUACCAGUCCCACCAUCCAAAACUCAGCUGCAUAAAUGUAAACAGUAGACAAUAUCUUCUUCUGAGAGUAACAAACAAUAUUGACAAACAGGUUAAAAUACAAAAUUAUGUUAAGAAUUCUAUGGUUCAAAAUUAUGUUAGAAUACCCUUACCUGCUUAUGAGUAGAGCAAUGUUUAACGAAACAAAUACUUCAUGAGGCCCCUAAUUGAAAGAGACGCACACCUUUACCACUAGUUACCCAUUUACCUAAAUUAUGUUCCCCUCUUAAAUAGCCAUGGCCAACUCAAUCCUCAAACUAGUGCAGAGUCCUCAAAUUUUGAACUUGUCUUCUGUAAAGUGGACAAGCAAGAGCUUUACAUACAAAAGCAUGCCCAUAUGAUUCAUUUUCAUGAAACUUUAGCAUUUUUUCUUGCUGAUUUGGACCAUGCCACCUAAACCCUCAUUAAAGAGCAUGAUCCUUAUGAUGUAUAUAUAAGUGGCUUCUAUCAUCUAGGAGACACAUCAACAAGUCUACUUGCUCCUCAACUUCAAGCGCAAGUUCUUAUCAAGGUGAAAAAUCUUGCAAAAUGGCUAAUGAAGAUAAGGUGAAUACUCAACUUAUCUUGG
rnacentral:lncRNA from 1 species